GAUGCUACAGCUGCAAUCAAUCAAAGAGGGAGGGACCCUCUGUUUUGAAUUUGAAAUCGUAUCUCAUCAUUCCAAAUGAAACACAUUUCACUUUAUCUUCAAAGAUUUUAUUUGUUUUUUAAGUAAUUUUUAUAGUUGUAAUUUAUAAAAAAGUAUAGUUGGAUUAGAUACAAAUGGUAUUAAGAAGAUAUAGUUAGUUGAAAUAAAAUGUUUGGUAUAAGUGUGGUUCUGAUUGUUUUUUAAAGUGUUUUUUAUUUAAAAAUACAUUAAAAUAAUUUUUUUUUAUUUUUUAAAAUAUAUUUUUGAUAUCAGCACAUCAAAAUGAUUUGAAAACACAAAACAUAUAUCAAUUUUUAAUGACAUAACUAAACACUAGAAAAUAAUUUUUAAUUUAUUUUUCAUCAUACUAUUAAAUAUCAGAAAAUAAUUCACUUUCCUUAAAUUUAUUUUUUAAAAAUUCAUUUAAAAAAAAAUUAUUUUUCAGUGAACAAGAACCAUUAAAGGAGUUUCUUUCUUUUCAGAGAGGUAAAUGCGGUUGCUUUGCUUUAUAGAAAGAAGAGAAGGGAAGGGAAGAAAAGAGAAAAGAUGUCAUCCAAUAAGGGAAGCAAUGAAGGAUCUUUGCUUUUCCACACAGUAGUGUGUGUAUGUAUAUGUGUAUGUAUUGGCAGGUACAGGGCAAGACAAUAUUAGAACAAAUUAUCUACCGCGACUUCCUCUGUAUCUUCAAGCUUUCCUCUGUUACUGCGUCACGAUGUGUUUUAGGAAAUUUAUUGGUAUUUAAUUUUAAGAUAAUUAAAAUAAGUAUUUGUCAAAAAUUGAUAAAUUAAUUUUACAGAAAAAAGUCAAAAUUCUCUUUUAUUAUUUAUUAUUUAUCUUGACAAAAACAUAUAUAUAUUUUAAUUAGCAACAUAGUUGUUUUAAUAAAUAAAAAACUUGAUGAUUUAAAUAAGUAUUCAAGAAUUUUUAAUUUUUGUAAAUAAAAAGGGAAAUACUAAAUGGUUGUUAAUAAAUUUAAUUUUAUAUUAAUUUUGAUCUUUAUUUUUAUUUUGCUUUUCUUUUAUUAUUUUUUAUUUGAAAAUUUUUAUUUAUCAAAUAAACAAGACAAUGCAUGUCAUUAUAAAAUGCAAAGUUAACUAAUUUCAUUCGGCAAUUUAAAUUCUAUGUUUGUCUAAUUUCUUUAGGUUUACUACUAUGAGGGUCCUGUCAGCUAAGAUCUUUUACAACAGUCAGUCACUUUUAAAGAUCAGCUGAAGGUUCGAAGUGUUUGUUUUGUGUAAUUUUCCUUGCUUUAAUUUUCUUGGCUAGCUGUGUGUGACGAUUUGUGAUCAAUAAAUUGAUAAACUUUUGGUUGUUCUGAAUUAUUGGCUUGCUUUUUUAUUUUAUUCAACAUAUCUUUUAUUAUUUAUUUUUUAUCUUGAUAAAAACAUAUAUAUUUUUUAAAUUAGCAACAUAGUUGUUUUAUUAAAAAAACUUGGUAAUUUAAAUAAGUAUUCUUAAAAUUUUAAUUAUUUAAAUUAAAAGGGAAAUUCUGAUUUGCUGAGAAUAAUAGCGGCUGCUGAGAAUGAUAGAGCCAGUUUGAUCCUAAUAUAUAGCAAUUUUAUUCAAGUCUAAAUUGCAGUGCUGAUGUGAUCUGAGCAAGGCAUUACAGCCUCUCUAUUAAGUUUUUCUCCAUUAUAUAAUAUUUGCAUGCACAAGACGAAAAUAGCAACUUAAUUAGUUGUGGUAAAUUCAACAGCCUCUACAAACUCAUUCCAACCUCAAAGUCGAUUUUAAUUCAUCCAGAAAGUUUUAGAAACUUCAACAAGUCUUGAAAACUAAACUAUUUUUAACACAACCCUGCAAGAACAAAAAUAAAGAUAGCAAGCAAACCCUGAGUCUAUUUUUAUCCAGCUUGGAGAUUUAAAAAAAAGCAAUGAGACAGACUCAUACAUUGCUGGCUGCGUUGCAUUGGUUGUUAUCCAUGGCUGAGAAGGAAAAAAAGAGCAUCAAAUCUAAUCAAAGGAAGAACACACGGGAAUCAAUAGAAACCAUGUUGCUUCUCAAUGAAAAGACUAUUCCUGCACGUUUUCUCAUCUUCAAAGCAAAAGUGAAAGGCAAAGUCAACAGCUGAAGUUUAUUUAUAUCAUGAGUAAUUUAGCAACAACACGUUGUACAGAACAAUGUCGUUUGCAUCAAUUUUAACCACCAUCACGGUCGAUUUUUAUGUUAAAUAGGUCUAUUUAAUUAGAGGAAUUUAUCCUGAAUGUUUUUUCUUUAUCCAGAACAUUGCGCGUGUCAAGAGAAUAUAGGGAGAGGGAGGGACCCUCUGCUUUCAAGUUGUCUACAGGCUCAGAUGGAUUUGGACACUCUAGAUAAGAAGGUAGGGCCAUUUUCUUCGCCUUUGCAUGACUAAUCUGACAGCAGUGGUUCGUGGAAGAUGCUGCCAGCUGCAAUCAAUCAAUUAAUACAGUGAGGGAGGGACCCUCUGCUUUCAAGUUGAAUGCAUCUCCCCAUUCCAAAACACACUUCAUUUCAUCCCUACUUCACAACUUUCAGACCAUUCUUAUCUCUCUUUACCUCAAUCUUUCUUCUUUGAUUUCCCAAAGAAAACAAGAGAAUAUGGCAGCAGAGCUUUUUCUUACGUUGGCCAUAGAGGAGACUUUGAGAAGGUUGAGUUCCAUAGCUGUUGAAGGGAUCGGACUUGCUUGGGGAUUGGAGGAACAGCUGCAAAAGCUCAAGCAAUCCUUGACUUGGAUCAAAGAUGUGCUCCAUGUUGGUGGGAGGAACCACUGGUGGUGGCUUUGAAACACUCAGAGGGGAUAAAACACACUGGUUUUAUUACAAAAUCCGAAGCUUACAAUUAAUUAAAACAAAAGCUUAAACACACCCUCUUUCUCUCUUUCUCUUUCAAGUGUUUCUCUCUAUUCUCUCCACACAUAUAACAUAAGCUGGGCACUCUAUUUAUAGACAAAAUCAGAAUACGAAAAUUCAACCUUCAAGUGUGAAGGCGGCUGGCGGCUGGCGGCAAUGCGGCUGGUGGCUGGCGGCUGCUGUCGGCUGGUGGCUGGUGGUGGUUGCCUUCCUUGACCUUCUGGAUUAUUGAGUUUAUUCAACAAAUCUCCCCUUUAAACUCAAUCGAGGGAUGUCAUGCCAAGCAUGAACUUUAAUCGGAUGAAUACUUCUCCUUUCAAUUGUGAAGAUGUCAGCAACUUGAUCAUUUGUGUUGCAAGAUAUCAGUUGGACUUCUUCAUUCUUCACAUGUUCCCGGAUAAAGUGAUGACGUGUAUCAAUGUGUUUGCUCCUCUCAUGAUACACUGGAUUCUUUGCUAAUGCGAUUGCUGAUCGAUUGUCAAUAUAAAUCUCCGUAGGACUUUCUUGAGGAAAUCCCAAAAACUUCAGCAUAUUCCUUAACCAUAUUUAUUGAGUUGGCAGCAACAUACUCAGCUUCACAGCUUGAUAAUGUGACAAUCGAUUGCUUCUUGGAUGACCAUGUGAAAGAUGUGUCUCCCAUGAAAAAGACAAACCCUGUUGUGCUUUUCCUUUCAUCCAGAUCUCUACCCCAAUCACUAUCCGAGUAGCCUACAAGAUUAAAGUCUUUACUUGAGGUAUAAAACAUACCUUCAUUCAUUGUGCCUUUGAUGUAGCGAAGAAUUCUCUUGGCUGCAUUCAAAUGAGACUGGUCUGGUGUCUCCAUGUAUCUGCUGACGAGUCCGACUCCGUAGAGUAUAUCCGGUCUGGUACAUGUCAAGUACCUUAAGCUUCCUACUAAGCUUUUGAAGUAAGUUGGAUCAACAUUUCCAACCUUACUCUUCCUCAAUUCCACUCCAUUCUCAACUGGAGUUGAUACCGGAUUGCAGCUUUCCAUCUUGAACCUUUCAAGAAUAUCUUUGGCGUAACCGCUUUGGGAUACAAAAAUCCCUUCUUCCUUCUGCGUUACUUCUAAGCCAAGAAAAUGUGACAUUAGACCAAUGUCAGUCAUUUCAAACUCCUGUACCAUGCUUCGUUUGAAGUCGUCAAACAUGGUAGGGUUGUUGCCGGUGAAUAUCAAAUCAUCAACAUACAGGCACACAAAUAAGAUGCUGCUCCUUUCUUCACAUAUAGCGUGUUCAUAUGGACAUUUUCAAAUCCAUUAUCUUGAAAAUACCUGUCAAUUCUGGUAUUCCAAGCACGCGGAGCUUGCUUCAAACCAUAGAGAGCCUUCUUCAACUUGUAUACUUUGCCUUCAUUUUCAGCAUCAAUGUAUCCAAGUGGUUGUUCAACAUAGAUUUCUUCUUCUAGGAAGCCAUUCAGAAAUGCUGACUUCACAUCGAGUUGAUAGAUCUUCCAUCUAUGUUGUGCAGCUAGUGAGAUCAUCAGUCUGAUUGUCUCUAGCCGGGCUACUGGAGCAAAUACUUCUCCAUAGUCAAUGCCUUCUCUCUGUUUGUAGCCUUUAGCCACUAAUCUGGCUUUGUAUCUUUGCACUUCUCCUUUGGCGUUCUUCUUCGUCUUGUAGACCCAUUUGACACCUAUUGCUUUCUUGUUUUCUGGUAGAUAAGUCAGCUUCCAGGUAUCAUUCUUCUCAAUGGCAUGUAUUUCUUCAUCCAUUGCUUCUAUCCAUUUCUCUUCUGUGAUAGCUUCAUUGAAGCUUAAUGGGUCACUAUCUGCAAAGAAACAAAACAGAGUUGUAUCUUCCAUAACCUGAGUGGUAUCGUACAACUCUUCAAGAUUCCGCAUCCUUCUUGGUCCUUCUGAUGAGGAUGCUGGUGGUGUUGAUGAUGAUGCUCCUGGUGUGUUCCUUCUGUUGAAUACAGGGAAACUGUGUGCCGGACUUUGUGGUUCAGCUGCUGGCACAAUCGGUUCUUCGACAAGUACUGUUGGUACUUCUUCACCUUCAAGGAUCAAAUCAGUGUUGAUCCAUCUGACUGCUUCUUGAUCACCAUUCCAUGCCCAAGAUUUAUCUUCUUCAAAGAUAACAUCUCUACUCGUAAUCACCUUCUUCGUGAUGGGAUUAUACAGCCUGUAUCCCAUCCUUCUUUCACCAUAUCCGACAAAGAUGCAUUGCUCGCUUUUAUCAUCGAGCUUCCUCCUUCUUGCAUCUGGGAUCUUUGCAUAUGCCACACAACCAAAGACUCGUAGAUGAGUAACACUUGGUUUGUGACCACUCCAUGCUUCUUCUGGAGUGACUCCUUGCAAACUUCUGGUUGGGCAGCGAUUCAGUAGAUACACUGCACAUGAUACAGCUUCAGCCCAGUAUUGCUUGGGCAGCUUCUUUGCUUUGAGCAAACUUCUAGCCAUGUCAAGAAUCGUGCGAUUCUUCCUUUCUGCUACACCGUUCAGCUGUGGUGUAUAAGCUGGCGUCGUCUGAUGUCUGAUGCCUUGUUGUGUACAAUAGGCUUCAAAGUCAUUUGCUGUAUAUUCUCCUCCUUGAUCAGAUCUCACGUUCUGAUCGUGUAACCAGUUUGCUUCUCCACAAUUGCUUUAAAAUCUUUAAAACAAUUGAAUACUUCUGACUUCCUCUUCAGAAAGUAUAUCCACGUCUUUCUACUAAAAUCAUCAGUAAAAGUGAGGAAGUACCUAUUUUGUCCAGUCGACAUAGGCGUAAUUGGGCCACACACAUCUGUGUGUACUAACUCCAGUGGCCUCUUUGCUCUCCAGUUGACUUCUUUGGCAAAACUGGAUCUGUGAUGUUUGCUGAGGACACAACUCUCACAGACUUCAUCUGGAUGAUCAAUGUGAGGCAAACCUUUGACCAUCUUCUUGCUUGCUAGCAUCUUCAUACUCGUGAAAUUCAGAUGUCCAAGCCUCAGGUGCCAAAGCCAUUCUUCACUGUUGGUGAUGGCACUCAAACACCUUGUUGCAUCAUACUGGAUGUUCAAAGGAAACAUCCUAUUCUUGGACAUUUUCACGUAGGCCAUUAAUCUCCCAUUGUUGUCUCUAAUUGCCAGAUGACAAUUCUUCGAGUAAAAACUAUAUCCUCUCUCCAAAAGUUGCCUAAGCUGAUCAGGUUCUGCUUUAUGGCUGGGACAUAAUACACAUCGGCGAUGUAGCUGGAAUCGCCAUUCUUCAACUUGACUGGGAUGUUGCCUUUACCUUUGAAUGGAACCUUUGUGGUAUCUCCAAAAGUAACUAGACCUUGCUUGGUCUCAUCUAGAUCACCAAAUAACUCUCGGUAGCCGCACAUGUGAUUGCUGGCUCCAGUAUCUAGAUACCAUAUUCUCUGUUUCUCGCCAUGUCCUUGUUGGACAAGAAAUGCAGAUGCUUCUCCAUCAUGCUUCUCUACAUAGUUGGCUUGCUCACGUAUCUCCAACGGAGCUUUCCAUCGGCAUUCAGUGCUAUAGUGCCCAAAUUGAUUGCAGCUAUAACAUUUGAUAUUUCUCUUGUCACGGUUAUUGUAACCGCCUCCUCUUCCUCUAGGAGUGAAUGCUUGUUGUCCUCGGCCUCCUCUGGUGGUGUUUCUACCACCUCUUCCUCUGAAGCUUGUAUUCCAAGAUCCUCUUCCUCUUCCUUGGAAUCUAUGAAUCCUCCUCUGGAUUGUUGACUUCCUGCUUGAGUGGUGUAGCCACUGUUGAAGUCUCCCCUUGCUCAUAUCUGUCUUGAAAGACAGCUUUGCUUGUAAGGCAUGCUCAAUGGCCUUAUCUUCAUUUCGCAUUACAAUCUUCUGCUCAUGAGCUUGCAAAGAACUCAUAAGCUCAUCACUGUCAACUUGUCCACUUCCUUGGACUCUUCAAUUGCGACAACAACAUGAUCAAAUUUUGGAUCUAUGGAUCUCAAAAUUUUCUCAAUAAUUCGAGUAUCGAUGAGGGCUUCUCCAUUUUUCUCAUCUGGUUGACUAUCACCAUAAUCCUUGUAUGAUAAUCAGAAAUAGAUUCUGAGGACUUCAUUCGUAAUAAUUCGAAUUCUCCUCUCAAAGAUUGAAGACGAAUCUUCUUGAUUCUGUCAGCACCUUUGUAUUUCUGUUGGAGAGCCUCCCAUAUAUCAUGUGACGUUUCAGCGGAAGCUAUUAUCUCGAAUGUAUCUUCAUCAAGACCUUGAUAGAUGAUGGUCUUUGCUUUGUUGUCCUUCUUUCUGUUGACUUUAAGGCUUGCUUCUGUGCCUCUUGUAAAGCAUCUUCUCUUUCUUUGGACUCUGGUUCAUCAUAACCAGUUUGUACAAUAUCAAACACUCUUGUGACCCAAGAAAUGCCUUCAAUCUGAUGCACCAACUAUCAUAGUUGUCUUUGGUCAGCUUCGGGAUGAGUGUAUGUGUACCUUCUGUAGUCAUUUUGCUCUUUGAAUGACUAUAUCACCUUCUGGGAGCCGAAUUUGACCAAACGGACACUGUAGAUCGAUCCGGAAUGGUCCAAAUAGUCGGGAACCGGUCUUACUUUGUUGAAAUCGGGUCAAAACAUGGGUGAACCGGUCAAAAAACCAAUUCUGUACGGCGGGCGGUUCGCUGGGUUGAACCGGGAAUAUUCUAUGGAAUAUUCUGGGGAAUAUUCGGGGAAUAUUCUGGGGAAUAUUCCUUCGGCUCGGCUCGGCUCGGGGUACGGCUCGGCUUGUGGCUCGGCUUAGGCGGCUUACAUGGCUCGAAUAUGGCGCGCGUGUGGCUCAGUCGUCUUCAACCUCGGGGCGCGUGGAUGCGCGUGGGCGAUCUGGCUGAAUAUUCAGGCGGCGCGUGUGGGCUACCCCGGACUCCGAUGAGGCUGAUUUUUGCGGCAGUGAGUUCGUCUUGAUGAGCUCUACACUGUGGAAUGAUCAAAACUUGUUUUUGACAACUUUGAAAAUUCGGAUAUACCCCAAAACUCUUCUGUUUUCCGACGAACGGGGCUCUGAUACCAAUUGUUGGUGGGAGGAACCACUGGUGGUGGCUUUGAAACACUCAGAGGGGAUAAAACACACUGGUUUUAUUACAAAAUCCGAAGCUUACAAUUAAUUAAAACAAAAGCUUAAACACACCCUCUUUCUCUCUUUCUCUUUCAAGUGUUUCUCUCUAUUCUCUCCACACAUAUAACAUAAGCUGGGCACUCUAUUUAUAGACAAAAUCAGAAUACGAAAAUUCAACCUUCAAGUGUGAAGGCGGCUGGCGGCAAUGGAGGCGGCUGGCGGCUGCGGCUGGUGGCUGGUGGCUGGCGGCUGGUCGGCGACUGGUGGCUGGUGGCUGGUUGCCAACCUUGACCUUCUGGUAGCUUCUGGAUUGAGUUUAUUCAACAGCUCCAAGAUGCAGCAAUAAAGUCAGUCACAAACGAUUCUGUGAGGGGUUGGCUGGAGAAACUACAAGAUGUAGCUUACGAUGCUGAAGAUGUUCUAGACGAGUUUGCUUAUGAGAUUCUCCGAAAAGACCAAAAGAAGGGAAAGGUACGUGACUUUUUUUCAUCCCGCAACCCUGCCGCAUUCCGUUUGAAUAUGGGUCGGAAAGUUCAGAAGAUCAUUGAAGCCCUGGAUAAAAUCCUGGAUGUUGGCUCUCGUCUUGGGUUGAGAAAUCUACCUGAAGUUAGGCGGGAUCCACGCCGACAGACAGAUUCCAUCCUUGACAGCUCAGCAGUUGUAGUAGGAAGGGAGAAUGAUGUCUCUAAAGUUGUGGAAUUGUUGACUAGCAUGACCAAAUCCCAACACGCCCUUUCAGUUGUCCCAAUAGUGGGGAUGGCUGGCCUUGGAAAGACUACUAUAGCAAAAAAGGUUUUCCAAGAAGUCAAGGACAGAAAGCUUUUUGAUGUAACAAUAUGGGUUUGUGUUUCUAACCAUUUUGAUGAAGUGAAGAUUCUACGAGAGAUGUUGCAAAAGAUUGAUAAAACUACUGGCUCGGUGGACAAUCUUGAUGCAAUUCUUGAAAACCUGAAGAAAGAGCUGGAAAAGAAAACAUUUCUUCUUGUUCUUGAUGAUGUGUGGAAUGAAGACCAUGAUAAGUGGGCUGGUUUGAAGGAGGGAUUGUUAAAAAUUAAAGACAAGAAUGGGAAUGCAGUUGUUGUUACAACCCGCCUUGAGGUAGUAGCAAGCAUGAUAUUGAAGACUUGUCCUGGGAGUCAGCACGAGCCAUGGAGACUGUCAGAGAAUCAAUGUUGGUCAAUUAUCAAGCAAAAGGUGAAUGGGGGUGGAGGAGCAUCAAUGGCUUCAGACUUGGAGUCUAUUGGACAAGAGAUUGCAAAGAAAUGUGGAGGGCUUCCAUUGCUAGCUAAUGUUUUGGGAGGAACAUUGAGCCAAAUGGAGACACAGGAGUGGCAGUCAAUUCUAAACAGUAAAAUUUGGGAGUCCCGUGAUGGAAAUGAAGCUUUGCAUAUAUUGAGACUCAGUUUUGAUCACCUGUCAUCGCUAUCACUGAAAAAAUGUUUUGCAUACUGUUCUAUUUUUCCUAAAGAUUUUAAAAUUGAAAGGGAAGAGCUAAUUCAACUUUGGAUGGCCGAAGGUUUUCUCAGGCCAUCAAAUAGGAGGAUGGAAGACGAAGGCAACAAGUGUUUCAAUGACUUGCUUGCAAAUUCCUUUUUCCAAGAUGUUGAAAGGAAUGAGUGUGAGAUCGUAACAAGUUGCAAGAUGCAUGAUCUUGUGCAUGAUCUUGCAUUACAGGUCUCAAAAUCAGUAGCGUUAAAUCUGGAGGAGGAUUCGGCUGUUGAUGGUGCAUCUCAUAUUCGUCAUCUAAAUCUCAUAUCUCGUGGGGAUGUUGAGGCAGUAUUUCCAGCGGUUGAUGCUAGAAAAUUGCGAACUGUUUUCUCAAUGGUUGAUGUAUUCAAGGUGUCUUGGAAAUUCAAAAGCUUGAGAACUCUCAAAUUGCGACAGUCUGAUAUCACAGAGUUACCAGAUUCAAUUUACAAGCUGAGACAUUUGAGAUAUCUUGAUGUCUCGGUUACUGCUAUCAGAGCAUUUCCGGAAUCCAUCACCAAGCUCUACCAUUUGGAAACAUUAAGAUUCAUUUAUUGCAAGUCACUAGAAAAGCUUCCCAAGAAAAUGAGGAAUUUAGUCAGCUUGAGACAUCUUCAUUUUGAUGAUCCAAAGCUAAUGCCAGCUGAGGUGAGACUCUUAACACACCUUCAAACUCUGCCUUUUUUUGUUGUGGGUCCAGAUCAUAUGGUUGAAGAGCUGGGAUGUUUGAAAGAACUAAGAGGAGCAUUGAAGAUAUGCAAGCUUGAGCAAGUGAGAGACAGAGAAGAAGCUGAGAAGGCAGAACUGAGUGGAAAAAGAAUGAAAAAAUUGGUGUUUGAAUGGAGUGAUGAUGAAGGUAACAGUAGUGUCAAUAGCGAGGAUGUGCUGGAAGGCCUGCAGCCUCACCCAGACAUAAGAAGCUUGACAAUUAAGGGUUAUGGAGGUGAAUAUUUCCCAUCAUGGAUGUCUACAUUGCCACUCAAUAAUCUGACGGUGCUGAGAUUGAAUGGCUGCAGCAAGUUGAGGCAACUCCCAGCACUUGGAUGUCUUCCUCGCCUUCAGAUUCUACAGAUAAAUGGAAUGGGUACUGUACAAUGUAUAGGCAAUGAGUUCUAUAGCAGCAGUAGUGGCAGUGCAACAGUACUGUUUCCAGCACUAAAAGAACUCACUUUGGAGGAUAUGGAUGGUCUUGAAGAAUGGGUGGUACCAGGUGGAGAAGGUGAUCAAGUAUUUCCUUGUCUUGAAAGGUUGUGCAUUGAGGGGUGUGGCAAGUUGAGGCAACUCCCAGCACUUGGAUGUCUUCCUCACCUUCAGAUUCUACAGAUAAAAGGAAUGGGUACUGUACAAUGUAUAGGCAAUGAGUUCUAUAGCAGCAGCAGUGGCAGUGCAGCAGUACUGUUUCCAGCACUAAAAGAACUCACUUUGAAGUAUAUGGAUGGUCUUGAAGAAUGGGUGGUACCAGGUGGAGAAGGUGAUCGAGUAUUUCCUUGUCUUGAAAGGUUGAGCAUUCUUAAGUGUGGCAAGUUGAGGCAACUCCCAGCACUUGGAUGUCUUCCUCGCCUUCAGAUUCUACAGAUAAAUGGAAUGGGUACUGUACAAUGUAUAGGCAAGGAGUUCUAUAGCAGCAGCAGUGGCAGUGCAGCAGUACUGUUUCCAGCACUAAAAGAACUCACUUUGGAGGAUAUGGAUGGUCUUGAAGAAUGGGUGGUACCAGGUGGAGAAGGUGAUCGAGUAUUUCCUUGUCUUGAAAGGUUGAGCAUUUGUAAGUGUGACAAGUUGAAAAGCAUUCCGAUAUGUGGUCUUUCAUCUCUUGUAAAAUUUGAUAUUAUAUUAUGUGAUGAACUGAGAUAUUUUUCUGGUGAGUUUCGUGGCUUCACGUCUCUUCAAAUUUUAGAGAUACGGUCUUGUCCAAAGCUGGCAUCCAUUCCAAGCGUACAACACUGCACAGCUCUGGUGGAAUUGAGUAUAUUGGACUGCCAUGAGUUGAUCUCAAUUCCUGGUGAUUUUCGAGAAUUGAAUUCUUUGAAGAAAGUGAUUGUUGAUGGGUGUAAAUUGGGAGCUCUUCCAAGCGGACUACGAUGUUGCGCAUCUCUAGAGGUAUUGUACAUAUGUGGUUGGAGUGAGCUUAUCCGUAUUAAUGAUUUACAAGAAUUGUCUUCGCUACGAAUUUUAAGGAUUAGAUGUUGUGAUAAGCUCAUCAGUGUUGAUUGGCAUAGUUUACGACAAUUGCCUUCUCUUGUUGAUUUAUCAAUCAGUUGGUGUCCUAGUUUGAGUGACAUCCCAGAGGAUGAUUGGUUAGGCAGCCUCACCCAACUGAAGGCAUUGAGCAUCGGUGGUUUCUCAGAGGAGAUGGAGGCUUUUCCUGCUGGAGUUUUAAACUCAAUCCAACACCUCAACUUGAGUGGGUCCCUUGAAUCUCUAGAGAUAGUUGGAUGGGAUAAACUGAAAAGUAUACCACACCAACUUCAACACCUCACUGCCCUUACUAGCUUGUUUAUAAGGGGUUUCAAUGGAGAGGAGUUUGAGGAAGCAUUGCCAGAAUGGUUGGCCAACCUUUCUUCUCUUGGAUCUCUUACUAUUUGGGAUUGCAAGAAUCUCAAGUAUCUGUUAAGUUCAACAGCCAUUCAACGCCUCUCCAAAUUAAAGGAAUUGGAGAUUUGGAAUUGUCCACAUCUUGAAUAAAAUUGUGAGUGGUCCAAGAUUUCUCAUAUCCCAAAGAUAGAUAUAUAGACGGUAGAUACUUUGUAAUAUGUAGUGAGGAGAGAGAACCAAUUAGAGAGAACCAAAGUAAUAAUUAAACUUCAUUCUUUUAAAAAUGGUUUCUUUCUCAUAUCCCAACAUUCUUUAGAGUAAUAUAAAAAAUAACCAAAUCAAUCAUAAUAAAAAACAAUUAUUAGAUUUUUAUUAUCUUUUAUUAUUAUAUUAAUAAAAUUUAGAUUUGUGAUCAAUGAUAAUAUCAAUAACCGUCACUCAUUAUUGUAAUAUUACUUGUACCUUCAAUCAUUAUUUUAGAAUCAUUAAUUUUAUAUACAAUUAUGAUACUUAAAACAAACUAUUAAAUCUUAAAAUUAAAUACAUAUAAAUUUAAUGAUGAUUUUUUAAAAUUAAAAAAUUAUAACCAUGAAAUCAAUAAUUUAAAAAUUAUAAUAAAAAAUUUGCCUAAUCGUUUCUUGCCUACAUGUAGUAACCAAUUUUAACAAAUUGCUUCCAUAUAGCUAUUAAACAAACAGCUUCCAAGAUUUAAAAAAGAAUCCAACGUAAAAGGGAUGCAAAAUCUUAACAGUUCAACUUCUGUUAGUUACAUGCAUAAAAAUAUAAAUUUGGUUUAAACCUUCUUAUUGAGCUCAAAGCACAAAAUAGUUUGGAAGAAAAAUGCUGCAAAUAAUGGUUCCAAAAAAGAGUAAUUCACCACUAGUUCUGUUGCUUAACAUAGAGGCUCUGAUUUGAAUAAUAAAAUACCGAUGUAGGAAAACCAAAGCAACACCAAAAGUACAUUCAGGUAAACAUUUUAAAUUAAUAAGGUUAGCUUCAUUUGGCUACAAGACUUUAUCACUCUCCCAUAUUGUUGUCUACAAGACUUUAUCGACUGAAUGUAUCUCAAUUUUCUGCUAUUUGGCUAAAUUUUCAACCCAACUAGCUACCCCAUGAAAAUGAAGCCCAUGAAAUCUGUCAUCACUUGCAAGUCCUGAUCUGGCAACGCAAGAACUGCUCCUAAUACAUUGUUCUUGGGACAAACAAUUGCCGUCGACGCCAUCCUUCAGUUUGUGGAAUUUCAAUUUCAAUCUGAGAAUGAUAAAUUUCUAUCAGUCAUCCACUAAUUUGUUCAUUCAAUUAUUCAUUCUUCUGUUUCAAACCAACCAGUCGACUUGGAGUUACAAUUGCUGAAGGCACUAUUUGUUCCUUCAAUUCGAAUUUUACAUGUUAUCAAAGAGCCAUUCAACUCAUCAAUAGAUCCAAAAUUUCUAUGGUACGGCCUCGGUCUAACUCAGACACAGCAUUGGCAUUUACAUGCAUUGUCCACCUUCUGCUAAAAUAAGAAAAGAUUAAUGGCUAAACAUGUGCAAAGAAUAAUAAAAAAAAAAGAAUCAAAGAAGCAUUUACUAAAAUCAUCAAGAAAUAUUUACAUACAUUGGAAGAAGAAUACAAGCAUCAUCUAAGUUAGUAGCUGAAAACUGUGAGCUGUAUCAACAAUGACAUUGGGUACAAAACUUAAACUCGGUGAGAAAUGGGGAGGGGGGGCUAACCUUGAACAAGAGGUGGAGCUUUUCAUGGCAGCAAGGGAAAAAGUGGAUGCAGAGUGCCAAAAUAGGUGAAAAAAGAGCGUGCGGAGGUCUGGGAAGGCUGCGGAAGUGUAAAAGACAGACAUCAUCGUGUGGACUCUAACCAUAUAACGUAAUCGUUUUCUUCCUCCUCUCUGUUUUUUAGUUAGUUACUAGUGAUUUUCCUUUAGGAUGUCACGUUUCAAUUUGAAAUAUAUUUUUAUUUAGUUUUUUAUUGUUAUUAACAAAAUAUUUAUGAGAUAUACAAUUGUUAAAAUUCUAGACAGAACAAAAUAGAUAUUCUAAAAAUAUAUAUAUAUUGUUAAACUAAUUAUUCUUUUUUUAUUCAUGUAUUUUUUUUAUUUGAAUAAACAUAUUAUUUAUUAGUAGUUCAUUUUUCGAAUAAAAAACAAUGAAAUUUAAAAUAAAAAUUUAUAAAAAGUUAAAAAAUUUGAAAUAAGUAUAACAUUUUUAUAAAAUAUAUUUUCUAUUCAGAAGCACUGUCAUGAUAUUAAAAGCAUUGUUUUUUUUUUUUAAUAAUAAGCAAGAAUUUUUUCAUUCUAAACUCUAUUUUUUAUUAAUGGAUUUAUUUUUUAUUUUAAUAAAAUAUAUUUUGUAAUCAGAAGCAUUAUUGUUAAAUGAAAUCAUAUCAUGAUCUAAAAAAAAAUGUAAUAGAAUUAUGUCUUAUAUUUUCCGUGUGACAGAAGGAAACAAUUAAUUAAGGUAACAAGGUUAUGUAAAAAACUCAAAAAAAAAAUAUUAAUGCGCACAUUUUAAAAUGUUUUUGGGUAUAUGACAAUUAAAAAAUAUAAUAUUAUUUAAAUACUAUGGUAAAAUUAUUAUUAUUUACUUUUAUUUAAAUUUAUUUACAACAAAUUUUAAUCAAAAUCUAGAGAGAGAGAAAAGAAAAAAAAACUAAAGGGCUAUAAAAAGAGGUUCAUUUAAGAGAUCGGACUUGUGCACUUAACUUGAUAAAAAGAAGGCUAAGCGUGCUAGGGCUUGCAAUGCAAGGUCAAACAUAUAUACUUGGUUUUUUUCUUCAUUAAAUAUUAAUGAGUUUAUUGUUUUUUUUAUUUUAUUUAUAAAAACUCAAUGACAAGUCAUCCAUUUUGGUAGAUAAUAUGUGGUGUGUUGUAUAGAUUUCGACCACAUUAAAACCAUUGCUUAACUAAAAAUUUAUUUGUAAACCCUUUUUUAUCUUGAGAAAUACUUAAUAAACAUCUUAAAAAUCAAAUCAAACCCAUUGCUAACCUAAAAGCACCCUUCAAUUAGUCCAAAAACCCAAAUUAAAUAAUAAUAAAAAAAAUCUUUAUAAAGUACGAUCUAUUUCUUACAACAAAAUGAAAGUUUUAAACCACCUUAAUUUUUGCAUGAAAGACAAACACAUUCGCAUUAAAAAUGACUUUUUUGUUAUUGAAAUAUAAAAAACCAACCUUUUUUUCCUGUUUUUUCUUUUUAUUGAUGAUUUUCUCUUUAAUUUGUCAAACUCAAGGACUGCAACAUUAAACAAAUGAAGUUUAUGAUCAAAAUAUAUAUUAUGAAAACCACAAGGACUAAAAAUUUGUAAAGUAAAUAUUUAUUGACCAAAAUGAGAAGGACUCCAUUUGGUUUUUUUGGUUUUUAAUAAGGUCCUACUUCUUUAAAUUAUUUUUUAUGUAAAUAUAAAUUUAAUUUCAUUAAAUUAGUUUCUACCUUAAUUUUUAUAAAGUUUAUUAAACACUAUGAAUUCAUAAAAAUAUGCAAAGAAAAGAAAAUCUCAACAUAUAAAAUAUAUCCAACAUAAUAUAAAAGGAUAAAAUAUAUAAAAAAGGAAAGUUUUAUAACCAAAAUGAAAAAUAAAAAAAGUACAUUCAUGUUAUAUAACACAAAUAUUUAAUAUUAAAAAUCAAUUAACAAAUAAAAAAAGUAAAUUCAUGUUGUAUUUAUGAAUUUCUUAGAUUUAUACAACUAGUUUUUCAAAUUUAUUCAAUUAGGUUAGCUCAGUGAUUAUUUGAUGAAUAAUUCAUCUUAACUUUUUUUUAUUGAAAAAAAAAAAAACAAUGACAUUCGACGAUGACAUGUGAUUUCACGCACUACCAAUGGCAAUGGCUAUAGAGACUAUGUGCCACCACUCUUUUAAUUUUUCCAAUGUAACUUGGAAACUCCUUUGAUCAUUCAAACCUAGUCCAGAAGGUGUUCUGCAAAUUUAGGAUGAUUUUGUGCUUGUUAUGAUUAUUAUGGAUUUGUAAUAAAUGUAAAUGUGUGUGCUUUCAUUUUCUUAUAUGUUUUUUUUAUUUCAUAGAGUAAGGAAAAUAAAGAAAACUAGACAACUAUAGGGAAAAAAGGUUCCUAGUUGAUCUAAAAGACUAACAAUUCCUUAUAGUAGCAUGUCCCAAACAGUAAAUCCUUGAUCAUUACUAUCACCUAGUUUGGCCUUGAAAUCUGCACACGUAUUUGCUUUUCUGUAAAUAUAUUGGAUCCUCACAUACUAACUUCAAGCUAGCAACCUUCUGAUAUCCCAAAUAAUAGAUUUAUUUUCGUGAAAUCCCACCUUGUUAAUAAUCGAAUUAACUUCUUUAUAGUCUGAAUUACAGAAAUCCUUCUUGAAUUUAAGCCAUGAUAAAUGCCUAACUAAUAGGAACAACCCUGAUUUUAUAUUGAAGAUCCAUAGGAAUUGUCGUUGCCAAAUCUGUAAUCUUUCCAUAUAUAUCCUCAACCUGCUUAUCAACAUCCAUAAUAUUGACAAAAAGAACACAAGAAGCCAAAGGAUCUCCUUCCAACCAGCAAUCAUACUAAAUAGGUAUGUCUUCAUAACCAAUCCGAUGCAUAAACCCAUUUUUAAAAAAAGAAAAAGCUUUAACAAUUGACUUCCAAGUAUAAGAACUUGUAAGAAGUUGAUCUAAAGGUAGAAAAAAUCAAGCAUUCUCAUAUAUUUAUGUGUGAGAACCCUUGCCCACAACUUCUCAGGGCUAUUUAUAAGAUGUCAUGUCAGCUUACCCAAUAAAACAAUGUUCCCAAGCCUAGUUUAGGACAAGUAAGAGUACUCCAUGAGGCAAGUGGUCUUAGAACAACUCCAACGGAGCAGCCAAAUGGAAAGUAAAACCUCAUUUGCCUUUUAUUUCUUUACUAUUUGCAUUGCAACCAAAAAGCUAAGUCAAAAUUGCUAUUUGUACUCUUAACAGCCAUUUUUACAUUUAACUGUAGAAAUGGCCAAAAUGACCAACGACUAUUUUUAUAACCAUUGGCCAACAAUUUUUAUUUUUUUUAAAUAUAGAAAUUUUUUUCUAUAAAUAAAUGAAGAAAAAACUUGUAGUUUUAAAUUUUUCUAUUGUGCUUCACCCUUCUCUCAAAUUUAAAAAAACAAGAAGAAAUUAUGAAAAUGGAUAUUUCUAAUUUGGUUCCAAUUUCUUGGUUAUUUUAAAUACAUUGUUAUGAAAUUGAUAUCAAUUCGUAAUACUUUUAUAAGUUUGAAUUUAAAUUUACUUUUAAAAAAUUAAUUUUUUAACAAUAACAUAUAAAACUUAAAAUUAAAAAUAUUCAUAUAAAUAAAUUUUAAAUUUAAUUUUAAAUUAUAUUUUUUAACUUUCAUAUUACUUCAUUAAUUUUAUAUUACUUUUAUAAAUUACUCAUAUUAAUUAUAUAAUUAAUAACAUCAUAAUUAUAUUAUAUAUAAAAUAUCUAAAUUAGUUAUAUAAUUAUAUUAAAAUUAAUUUAACAUGAAAUAUAUUAAAAUAUAAAUGGCUUUUCUAAAUAGCUUUUUACCAUUGGAAUGCACAUAAUACAAAAAGCUAUAUUUAUACUAUUUAAAAAACCAUUUUCUUCAUUUGGCUCUUCAAAAUGACAUUUCUCAUUGGAGAUGCUCUUAGGAAACCAAAAACUUUACAUAGAAUACUUUGGCAAAGCCAUGAGGACUAAUUUGGUUUGGUUUGGGCAUUUCCCAUCUUCAUCUUCUAAUUUGAUAAUCUAAUCUUAAUGUUUUUAAUAACAAAAUUGAAAUGGUCUUUCUUUACCCUACCUUGAAUCAAAGGAAAACCUAAAUAUUUUCCUAACUCACUGGCAGUAUGAAUAGAUGAGAGCUAAGAAAUCUUACAUUUCUUCCUUCUGCUAACAGACUUGGAACACAUGAUUAUGGAUUUCACCAAGUUAAUUUUUAGCCCAAAAGCCAUGCAAAACUAUGAUAAAACAUUAUUAAUCAAUCUAACUUGUGAAUUCCUAGCCUUCGAGAACAAAAACAUAUCGUCUAUAAAGAGCAAGUGGGAGAUCUCAGGUCCUCCUCUUGACACUCUGACUGGCUCCCAUUUCCCAUAUGAGAUUAUAUCAAAUAUUAAUAAAGAUUAAUGUAUCACAAUUAUUGAUGGAUUGUUGUAAAAGAAGUGUUAAUUGUUUAUCCACUCAUAAAAUAAUAUUAUUUAUUUAGAUUUGAAUUUUAAAUCUUCAGUUUUAUUUUUAAAUUUCCAUUGAAUGUAUUAUUUGUUAUAUCUAGGUAAGUUUACUAUCUAGUGUAGAAAGUUUUUCAAUUUAGUUAUAUUAAGUAUGGAUCUACAAUAAUAAUGAUAAUAAUUCAAGUUAAAAACAAGAAAUAUAUCAAAAUUGAAGUUAUGUAAAUCUUAAAAACUAAUAGUGUAUUUUUUUAUAUAAAUAGUUUAUUUUGAUGAUUUGAAAAAAUAAAAUUCCUCAACAAGGAAAAAAAGUAUAACCAUUUUUGUUUUUUUAAGAAAAUAAAUUUGGUAAGAAAAGGUAAAUUUUGAAUAUCCUAACUAUUAAAAAAUAAAAGACUUCCUACUUUCAGUUAUAUUUUCUAAUAUAAAUAUAAUAUUAACAUUUAAUAUCACCAUUUUGUCAAAAAUCAAAUUAAAAAUAUCUUGAUCUAUUUAAAAAUAAAAUAGAUUGUAAAAUCGGAUUAACAAACUAUAAAAAUGGAAAGAACACCAUCCUUUUAUUGUCUCUAAUAAAAUACAAAUUUAAAUUAGCCACUAUGAUACAGGGAAAGUGUUUUUUUGUCGAAUCAAAUGUAUCUAUGAAGUUGUUCGGCUACCUUGUAGAUAUAGAUAAUAGGCAGAACAUGAGUAUUGAAUAAAAUUAAACUUCGAACCACAAGAUAAAACCAAAAUGGUGUAGGGGCAACGCAACAUCCCGUAGAGUGAACUAUUCAGGCAGACUACAUUCUUAAUUUUUUUUUUUUUUUUUUAGCAGACAACUUGGUUUAUCUACUAUAUGUAAACACGUGUAUGUCCAAACCAGACGAUGUCAGGCUUCUCAUAUUUCCACCCUAUCAAUUCUACUUCCAUCUUCUUUCUCCUCCGUAUUGAACUCUCCUCGUGAAAUAAUAUUCAUGAUGGUCUUGGUGGCUUGGCCAACAGCACGGGAAGUCUUCUUUGCGGCACCAGCAACAACGGGCUGCAGGGAAAUGAUUGGCAAGCUAGCCCUUCUUGAAUCAUAGCUAGAUGUCAAAUAAUAGACAAAAACAUCAGUUCUGUAGAGAUCAAUAAAUAAUGACGGGAAAGAUAGUAGAAAGCACAGGAACUUACAAAUAGUAUGAUGGUGAGCAAGUGUCCCAAUCUGUCGAAUUCCAGCUUCUGCUGCUUGAACUGCUUGUGCUGAUUUAUUGACCCCAUCAGUUAUCUCUUGGCUGUAAUUCAUUGUGAUAAACCAUAUUAUUGUACUUGCAAAGCAUCUGAAAAAAUGAAAUUGUAUCCUUGGAGGCCAUGAGACUUCAUAGCACAUCUUGUUAAGGUUGUAGUAUUCCUCGAGAAAUUUUAUAGUAAAGUAAUUAGUGAUAUCCUAUUAGUUAUUCUCUAGAUUUAUUUUGAAGGAGAAAGAAAUCCUAGAUGUAAAUAUUCUUAUCACUUUUGAUGGGUUAUGGAUUUUAUUUUCUCACUUCCUUGUGUAUGUCUUUCUCUUCAAAGUGAUUUGAUGAGUUAAUAGAAUGCCUCUAGUUACUCCGUGUUCCAGUAUUUCUCUAGCUGUCAUCAGACAGGUUCACACACAAAUAGACAUCAGACAAGUAUAAGUUUCUAUGACAUGCAUAAAUAGACAUAACUAAAGGACCUAUAUAUCCUCAUGGACCUUUGUCACUGUCCCAAUUUCAAGGAGCAUCCUUUUAAUGGGUCAAGGAAAUCCAUGUUUCAAAGAGCAUCCUUUUACUGGGUUAAGGAAAUCCAUGUUUUGUUUAUAAGACAUGACACAUGAAACUGAUGCAAGCAGACUCCUUUGCAUAUAAGCUUGUCUAAUACAAAAUACUCUCAACCAGCAUUCAGACCACUGGAAAAGGAGAAGAAAAUAGGAAACAGAAUUGAUGAUAACCAAAGAGUUGCAGUUAGAGCUUGACUCUCACCUCAAAUCACUUAAUUCCAAUGUAAGAUCACUUAUUUCCAUGCCUGAAAGCCUAAUCGCAGCCAUUGUACUGGGAAGUUCCUCACGAGCAGUAUCUGCUAGCUUUGAAAGAGACGUUGCCGCUCUCCCCACUGCCUGCCAACCAGAGAGGAAAAAAAAUAGAUGAAAAAGAACAAUUAUAGACCUAAAAGGAAAACACUAUAAAAACUAAAUUGCAGACAAAAUGUAUGGGGAUUCACAUUUCACUUUUUUUUUUCACGGCAGGUAUUAACAAGGAUAUCAUUUAAUAAAGAUACAGCUAGCAAAACAAUUGGUUGGAACAAAAUCUAGCAAAAAUCAUAAACAUGCCAUUAAAAAGAUAAAAACUGCACUCGGGUGUAGAGUCAGAUAACUUACAAACAGUGUUGGAACGGCAGCGGCAACAAGGCAUGUAAAUGCUAUAGAAGUCUGCAAGCAAUCAAAGUAAGCCAUAUUUUCAGUAAUCAAAAAGCUAAUUUCACUCAUUGGCAACAAAUGUGAGUUUUGCAGAUCAAAGAAAUUAUAGUUUCACAACACAGUCCAGCUGCAAUAUUUACCAACACGGCAAUCAUUUUGAUUGGAUGAUUCAACUGAACCUGCACUAUCAAAGUUGAAAAAAAACCAGACGACAUCAGACUUCUCAUAUCUCCACCCUAUCAAUUCUACUUCCAUCUUCUUUCUCCUCCGUACUGAACUCUCCUCGUGAAAUAAUAUUCAUGAUGGUCUUGGUGGCUUGGCCAACAGCACGGGAAGUCUUCUUUGCGGCACCAGCAACAACGGGCUGCAGGGAAAUGAUUGGCAAGCUAGCCCUCUCUUGAAUCAUAGCUAGAUGUCAAAUAAUAGACAAAAACAUCAGUUCUGUAGAGAUCAAUAAAGAAUGACGGGAAAGAUAGUAGAAAGCACAGGAACUUACAAAUAGUAUGAUGGUGAGCAAGUGUCCCAAUCUGUCGAAGUCCAGCUUCUGCUGCUUGAACUGCUUGUGCUGAUUUAUUGACCCCAUCAGUUAUCUCUUGGCUGUAAUUCAAUUGUGAUAAACCAUAUUAUUGUACUUGGAAAGCAUCUGAAAAAAAUGAAAUUGUAUCCUUGGAGGCCACGAGACUUCAGAGCACAUCUUGUUAAGAUUUUAGUAUUCCUCGAGAAAUUUUAUGGUAAAGUAAUUAGUGAUAUCCUAUUAGUUAUUCUCUGAGAUUCAUUUUGAAGGAGACAGACACAAGGAAGGAGAAAGAAAUCAUAAAUGUAAAUAUUCUUAUCACUUUUGAUGGCUCAUGGAUUUUAUUUUCUCUCUUCCUUGUGUAUGUCUUUCUCUUCAAAGUGAGUUAAUGAGUUAAUAGAAUGCCUCUAGUUACUCCGUGUUCCAGUAUUUCUCUAGCUGUCAUCAGACAGGUUCACACACAAAUAGACAUAACUAAAGGACCUAUAUAUCCUCAUGGACCUUUGUCACUUUCCCCCCGCAUCAAUAUGUCACUGUCCCAAUUUCAAGGAGCAUCCUUUUAAUGGGUUAAGGAAAUCCAUGUUUCAAAGAGCAUCCUUUUACUGGGUUAAGGAAUCCAUGUUUUGUUUAUAAGACAUGACACAUGAAACUGAUGCAAGCAGACUCUUUCGCAUAUAAGCUUGUCUAAUGCAAAAUACUCUCAACCAGCAUUCAGACCACUGGAAAAGGAGAAGAAAAUAGGAAACAGAAUUGAUGAUAACCAAAGAGUUGCAGUUAGAGCUUGACUGUCACCUCAAAUCACUUAAUUCCAAUGUAAGAUCACUUAUUUCCAUGCCUGAAAGCCUAAUCGCAGCCAUUGUACUGGGCAGUUCCUCACGAGCAGUAUCUGCUAGCUUUGAAAGAGAUGUUGCCGCUCUCCCCACUGCCUGCCAACCAGAGAGGAAAAAAUAGAUGAAAAAGAACCAUUAUAGACCUUAAAUAAAAACACUAUAAAAAUUCAAUUGCAGACAAAAAUGUAUGGAGAUUCACAUUUCACUUUUUUUUUCACGGCAGUUAUUAUUAACAAGGAUAUCAUUUAAUAAAGAUACAGCUAGCAAAACAAUUGGUUGGAACCAAAUCUAGCAAAAAUCAUAAACAUGCCGUUAAAAAGAUAAAAACUGCUCUAAUCAAAGGAAGAACACACGGGAAUCAAUAGAAACCAUGUUGCUUCUCAAUGAAAACACUAUUCCUGCACGUUUUCUCAUCUUCAAAGCACAAGUGAAAGGCAAAGUCAACAGCUGAAGUUUAUUUAUAUCAUGAGUAAUUUAGCAACAACACCUUGUACAGAACAAUGUCGUUUGCAUCAAUUUUAACCACCAUCACGGUUGCUUUUUAUGUUAAAUAGGUCUAUUUAAUUAGAGGAAUUUAUCCUGAAUGUUUUUUCUUUAUCCAGAACAUUGCGCGUGUCAAGAGAAUAUAGGGAGAGGGAGGGACCCUCUGCUUUCAAGUUGUCUACAGGCUCAGAUGGAUUUGGACACUCAAGAUAAGAAGGUAGGGUCAUGUUCUUCGCCUUUGCAUGACUAAUUUGACAGCAGUGGUUCGUGGAAGAUGCUGCCAGCUGCAAUCAAUCAAUUAAUACAGUGAGGGAGGGACCCUCUACUUUCAAGUUGAAUGCAUCUCCCCAUCCCAAAACAUUACUGAAUUUUGUAAUUUUUCUUGUGUUCUAGGAAGAGUAAUUACGGAAAUUCAAUAUAUAUAGAUUAAUAAGUUGCUUCAUCUUUGAAUCUGUCCUAGGUUUAAUGUGAACAUAGGAUCGAGGGAGUUGGCUGGCUUCAUAUGCAGCAGACGACGAAAGGUCUAGCAUUAAUAUCCUUAGGUGAGACAGAUUGACAGUGAGAAAUUUAUGAUGUUCUAUUGCUAAAAAUAUAGUGAGAAAUUUACGAAAAAUGUAAAAUGAAAAAUCUGCAAAAAGUUGAACUAAAUACAAUAUGCCGACAGAGGCGGAUGAGUUGCUAUCAUUUAUUGAAGAUAGUAUAUUAUAAGCAAACAAGAUUACGGAUGUUAGGGUUCUUUUUUCUCUUCUUUAUUUCCUUAGCUCUUAAUUUUAAUUUUAACUUUUACUCUUAAAAUUAAAUAAAAUAUAAAUAAUAAACUAAUAAUAAACAAUAAAUUUCUAUAUUUUACUUUUUCAAAUUUUAAUAUUUAUUAAUUAUUAAAGAAUUAACUAUGAGAUUUAUUAUAUUUUUUAACAAUAGCAUGGUUUAUUAUUACAUUUUUUUCUGCCUCGUUUAAAUUCAUUUAUUUAUAUUCAUAAAUAAAGUGUAUGUACUGACACUACUUUCUUACAGGCUUGAACACACAAGAUAAGAAGGAAGGGUAAGAUGCUACCAGCUGCAAUCAAUCAAAGAGGGAGGGACCCUCUGUUUUGAAUUUGAAAUCGUAUCUCAUCACUCCAAAUGAAACACAUUUCACUUUAUCUUCAAAGAUUUUAUUUGUUUUUUAGGUAAUUUUUAUAGUUGUAAUUUAUAAAAAAGUAUAGUUGGAUUAAAUACAAAUGGUAUUAAGAAGAUAUAGUUAGUUGAAAUAAAAUGUUUGGUAUAAGUAUG
rnacentral:lncRNA from 1 species